CCCCUUUCAUAUGAGUGGCGAGCGGGUGAGUACACGUGGCAAUGCUGCUCAAGCUGGGGAUAACAUUUGGAAACAGAUGCUAAUACCGAAUGAAACUUAGUGUCGCAUGACACGAAGUUAAAAGGCGCUUUGGCGUCACCUAGAGAUGGAUCCGCGGUGCAUUAGUUAGUUGGUGGGGUAAAGGCCUACCAAGACAAUGAUGCAUAGCCGAGUUGAGAGACUGAUCGGCCACAUUGGGACUGAGACACGGCCCAAACUCCUACGGGAGGCUGCAGUAGGGAAUCUUCCACAAUGGGCGAAAGCCUGAUGGAGCAACGCCGCGUGUGUGAUGAAGGCUUUCGGGUCGUAAAGCACUGUUGUAUGGGAAGAACAGCUAGAAUAGGGAAUGAUUUUAGUUUGACGGUACCAUACCAGAAAGGGACGGCUAAAUACGUGCCAGCAGCCGCGGUAAUACGUAUGUCCCGAGCGUUAUCCGGAUUUAUUGGGCGUAAAGCGAGCGCAGACGGUUGAUUAAGUCUGAUGUGAAAGCCCGGAGCUCAACUCCGGAAUGGCAUUGGAAACUGGUUAACUUGAGUGCAGUAGAGGUAAGUGGAACUCCAUGUGUAGCGGUGGAAUGCGUAGAUAUAUGGAAGAACACCAGUGGCGAAGCGGCUUACUGGACUGUAACUGACGUUGAGGCUCGAAAGUGUGGGUAGCAAACAGGAUUAGAUACCCUGGUAGUCCACACCGUAAAACGAUGAACACUAGGUGUUAGGGAGGUUCCGCUCUUAGGUGCCGAAGCUUACGCAUUUAGUGUUCCGGCUGGGAGUACNACGGCAGGNUUGAAAACUCAAAGGA
rnacentral:rRNA from 1 species